rnacentral:tRNA from 1 species
UACGCUUUCGUCUAUUGGUUAGGACGUAAGGUUUUCAACCUUAAAAGACGGGUUCGACUCCCGUAAGCGUAA